rnacentral:tRNA from 1 species
GCGCGGGUAGCUCAGUGGUAGAGCAGUUGGCUUUUAACCAAUUGGUCGAGGGUUCGAAUCCCUCCCCGCGCACCA